rnacentral:rRNA from 1 species
GACGAACGCUGGCGGCGUGCUUAAACACAUGCAAGUCGAGCGGUAAGGCCCUUUCGGGGGUACACGAGCGGCGAACGGGUGAGUAACACGUGGGUGACCUGCCCUCAGCUCUGGGAUAAGCCUGGGAAACCGGGUCUAAUACCGGAUAUGACUCCAUGACGCAUGUUGUGGGGUGGAAAGCCUUGUGCGGCUGAGGAUGGGCCCGCGGCCUAUCAGCUUGUUGGUGGGGUGAUGGCCUACCAAGGCGACGACGGGUAGCCGGCCUGAGAGGGCGACCGGCCACACUGGGACUGAGACACGGCCCAGACUCCUACGGGAGGCAGCAGUGGGGAAUCUUGCGCAAUGGGCGAAAGCCUGACGCAGCGACGCCGCGUGAGGGA